rnacentral:rRNA from 1 species
UACGUAGGGCGCAAGCGUUGUCCGGAAUUAUUGGGCGUAAAGAGCUCGUAGGCGGCUUGUCACGUCGGGUGUGAAAGCCCGGAGCUUAACCCCGGGUCUGCAUUCGAUACGGGCAGGCUAGAGUGUGGUAGGGGAGAUCGGAAUUCCUGGUGUAGCGGUGAAAUGCGCAGAUAUCAGGAGGAACACCGGUGGCGAAGGCGGAUCUCUGGGCCAUUACUGACGCUGAGGAGCGAAAGCGUGGGGAGCGAACAGG